GCCCGCCGCGCGCGGCGGGCGGGGCGGGGGCACGGGGGGCCCCAUACGGGAGGCAGCAGUGGGGAAUAUUGCACAAUGGGCGCAAGCCUGAUGCAGCCAUGCCGCGUGUAUGAAGAAGGCCUUCGGGUUGUAAAGUACUUUCAGCGGGGAGGAAGGGAGUAAAGUUAAUACCUUGCUCAUGACGUACCCGCAGAAGAGAAACGUUUGCCGC
rnacentral:rRNA from 1 species